AUUGAACGCUGGCGGCAGGCCUAACACAUGCAAGUCGAACGGUAACAGGAAGCAGCUUGCUGCUUCGCUGACGAGUGGCGGACGGGUGAGUAAUGUCUGGGAAACUGCCUGAUGGAGGGGGAUAACUACUGGAAACGGUAGCUAAUACCGCAUAACGUCGCAAGACCAAAGAGGGGGACCUUCAGGCCUCUUGCCAUCGGAUGUGCCCAGAUGGGAUUAGCUAGUAGGUGGGUAACGGAUCACCUAGGCGACGAUCCCUAGCCGGUCUGAGAGGAUGACCAGCCACACUGGAACUGAGACACGGUCCAGACUCCUACGGGAGGCAGCAGUGGGGAAUAUUGCACAAUGGGCGCAAGCCUGAUGCAGCCAUGCCGCGUGUAUGAAGAAGGCCUUCGGGUUGUAAAGUACUUUCAGCGGGGAGGAAGGCGAUAAGGUUAAUAACCUUGUCGAUUGACGUUACCCGCAGAAGAAGCACCGGCUAACUCCGUGCCAGCAGCCGCCGUAA
rnacentral:rRNA from 1 species